AUUGAACGCUGGCGGCCGGCCUAACACAUGCAAGUAGAACGAGUGGCGGACGGGUGAGUAAUGUCUGGGAAAAUGCCUGACGGAGGGGGAUAACUACUGGAAACGGUAGCUAAUACCGCAUACCAUCAGAUGUGCCCAGAUGGGAUUAGCUAGUUGGUGGGGUAACGGCUCACCAAGGCGACGAUCCCUAGCUGGUCUGAGAGGAUGAAAAUCCACACGGGAAUGGAGACACGGUCCAGAAUCCGACGGGAGGCAGCAGGGGGGAAUAUGGCACAAGGGGCGCAAGCCUGCUGAAGCCCGGCCACGUGUAUGAAGAAGGCCCUCGGGGUGUAAAGUACUUUCAGCGGGGAGGCGUUACCCGCAGAAGAAGCACCGGCUAACGCCGUGCCAGCAGCCGCGGUAAUUC
rnacentral:rRNA from 1 species